rnacentral:lncRNA from 1 species
ACCAUCCAUCAUAUAUCAUUGCCUUGCCCAAAUCCAAGCCCUUCAACUCAAAUUCAAAGCAAUCAAAUGCUUUCAAAGAUCGGACAGCAUAUCCCCUUAAUUUCCUUACUUUUCCAUCCUACAAGCAACACCAAUUCAUCUCAAAUUAACCACAUACACAUCAUAGACUAUCAAAUACACCUUUUGGCACAAUAUCCAUAUCUGAAGCUACACUUAUCGGAUUGAAACGAAUCUUAUGGCGUUUCAAAGCCAAGACAUAAACCUACAUUUAUUAUGAAGACCUCCAAAGCCAAAUCAUGCAUUUUCAGGGUCAAAAAUGGAAAAUUCCACGAAAACAAAAAUCUGGGCGUGAAAUAGGGCUUAUGGGCAGUCAAGGGUAUUUCGGUCAUUUCACAUGCUACAGUGCUCCGAUUGAGUUGAAAUUUUAUAGGCAGCUAGUUUAACACCAUUUGCUACAACUUUCAUGUUUUAACCUAAGCCUAAUUCGGCCUCUAACAUGCUCAAAUAAAUCCGGUUAGAACAGGGCAGAUUUGAAACCCUAACCUGAAAUUUUCCGCACAAGCUGAAAUUUUUUGCAAAUAACCGCAAUUAACGCACAAGAGGUCUAUUUAACACCAUUUAGAGCCAUCAAUUCAAGCCAACCAUAUCCAUUAUAGGAAAAUAGAAAAAUUCUAAAAAAAAAAACAGAAAUUUAGAUAACUCCACUCCAAUCCAUAAAAUCUUCCAUAAAAUCACAUAACUAGCUACCAUAAGGCACCAAUUGGCCAUUAUUAGGAACAAAGAGUGAGUUCCAAGCAAAAUACCUUAACCCCUCAAGAAAGGUAGUAGCUUAGUGAUUUUUCUUCCAAAACAACUCCACCAAGAUCUUCAAACUCCCUUAGCAAGUCUUUUGUGUGGACUAAUUCAAGGUUUAAUCGGUUAGAUUCCAAGAUUUGUGCAAGAAAUUGAAGAUAUAGGUGAAGCUUUUUUUUCUUUUCUCUCAAGGUGAAGGUCGGCCAAGAAGCUUGAAGAAU